CCUACGGGAGGCAGCAGUGGGGAAUAUUGGACAAUGGGGGGAACCCUGAUCCAGCCAUGCCGCGUGUGUGAAGAAGGCCUUAUGGUUGUAAAGCACUUUAAGCGAGGAGGAGGCUCUUUUGGUUAAUACCCAAGAUGAGUGGACGUUACUCGCAGAAUAAGCACCGGCUAACUCUGUGCCAGCAGCCGCGGUAAUACAGAGGGUGCGAGCGUUAAUCGGAUUUACUGGGCGUAAAGCGUGCGUAGGCGGCUUUUUAAGUCGGAUGUGAAAUCCCCGAGCUUAACUUGGGAAUUGCAUUCGAUACUGGGAAGCUAGAGUAUGGGAGAGGAUGGUAGAAUUCCAGGUGUAGCGGUGAAAUGCGUAGAGAUCUGGAGGAAUACCGAUGGCGAAGGCAGCCAUCUGGCCUAAUACUGACGCUGAGGUACGAAAGCAUGGGGAGC
rnacentral:rRNA from 1 species